rnacentral:lncRNA from 1 species
AGCCAGUCCUCUGCUAGAUGCCUGUUUGCAGGGCGUCAAAAGCAAAUCCCUGUAAACAGCAACAACAAUCUGUGGUUUAAAAAGCCACAAAACCAUGUCAGCCUCACCUCAGCACAUCACUCCAACCGAGUAUCUAUAUCCCAUAAUGCGUUUGAGAGACAAAACGCACAACUAAUGAUAAACCCGUCCAAAAAGGCAGUGUAAUCCAGUUAUUACUGCACCUACUGCAUAAGAGGCAGCAUCAUCAAUGCAAAGUUACACUAUAAAGCAGCAGAUGAGGUGCAAAAGCAGAAAAUACAGACAGCUGAUUUCAUCACUUCAUAUGGACACCGAGCGUAAACCAUACAGGAAAAUACCCCCUACCUGGUAGAAGAGCUGCGUCUUUGUCUCAGCAGGAAACAUGUGGAAUGUGACAUUGCAUGUUUUGGCGGGUGAAGAUUCUCAGUCAUUCAGGAAAGUUGUCUGAAAGUUGAGUUACGUCAACUGGACGUCAGGAGGCGCGAGAUGAUGAGGAUCCUGUUACAUGUCCCUAAUAAGAGGAUGCAAUGAGGUGAUGGACUGUGGCUCACAACCAGGAGUACACAUUUAUAAUGGAGGUCAAACUCAACAACUGACAAGACAAAACAUCACAAUUGGCUUUACGCCGGAACGUUUAAAUGUGAAUGGGAGUGAAAAAUAACACAAACUGUAGCUACAUCACGAAUACAACUCACCAAUCAAUAAAAUCCAAAGCACCCCGUUAGCAUGUAGCCUUAGCUACCAGUAAGCUAGCAGCUAGGUUGACAAGGCUGCAAGAAACUGCCAGCAACAAAAACGCAGCUCAGACGAGGAUUAGGUUAAAAAGCGUGAUUCCUGCCUCAGUGAAGGUGAAGAUCGGGGUGCUGAGGUGACACACAAGCUAACAAGCUUACGGCAAACGACGGCCCAGAAGCUGAGUGAUGCAACGGUGGAGACAUUUCGGAACCACGCCGCCCUUUAGGCCUCGUCGCCUCGGCUCAAAGAAGACGCGGAGGUGGCGCCAGUGCUCAGCCUCCCAGAAGAAUGCUGGCAGAAUAAAGGCCAGGCCCGACUGGUGCUGCCCACAGCCGACUGCACAAGGCUCUCCUGUUGCGGGUCAGAGAGGCAGCGGGCGGCAGAUGAGGUGGAUGACACCAGGCCUCUUAUGAUGAAUGAUUCAGCUGCAUUUAGAAAACUAUUGAUUCUGUCCUGGGCCUAAUAGUAGGUGAUGAUGGCACGGAGGUGAAUCCAUUACUGGCUGGGAAGCUGUAUGAGGUAUGCAGAGGGCUAAUGUGUGUCCUUUGCCAUUCGUCAUCACCAGCGUGCACCGGAGGAGCGUGCAAGUGUGGCAUAACUCUGUGCUCUUGUCCUCUAAUCCCGUGGGCAGAGGAGGGAGCGUCGUCGAUUAAACUGGAAAGCAACUGCGCCAAAGGACAAAGGCUACUUUGACUCCCUUCGUCCUCGCGCCUGAGGAAUCUCCCCGUCGCACCCAGGCAGAAAAAAGGGAGAAGCAAACAAAGCAGGUGCCUUUGCUCAGUCUGCAUCCCCUCCGUCUCCAUCUGAGGAAGUGCUUUGUGGGCUGUCAGCGAAGCAGGCGACCCCACGCGAUCGAUCGCGUCUUCUGGGACGGCACAGACGUCCACCUCUCAUGACACAUCACAAAAUGGG